UACGUAGGGGGCAAGCGUUGUCCGGAAUUAUUGGGCGUAAAGAGCUCGUAGGCGGUUUGUCGCGUCUGCUGUGAAAACUGGAGGCUCAACCUCCAGCCUGCAGUGGGUACGGGCAAACUAGAGUGCGGUAGGGGAGAUUGGAAUUCCUGGUGUAGCGGUGGAAUGCGCAGAUAUCAGGAGGAACACCGGUGGCGAAGGCGGGUCUCUGGGCCGAUACUGACGCUGAGGAGCGAAAGCGUGGGGAGCGAACAGG
rnacentral:rRNA from 1 species